GGAGGCGUGGACACUUACGCUAGAGAAGGCGAGACGAACAGUCGAGAAAUCCCUGACUCUGAAAUAUCCUAGCAGUGGUUCUGACAUUUGCGCACUCCCGUUUUUGGUCAAGAUCUGUCAGGAAAUUAAAUCAGCCAUAAAAAAUUCUGUGCCUUUCAAAGACGUAGAUUCAGACAAAUACAGCAUUUUCCCAACACUGCGGGGCUAUCACUGGCGAGGCAGAGACUGUAACGACAGUGAUGAGACAGCAUACCCAGGCAGAAGGCCAAACAACUGGGAUGCACAUCAGGAUUCAAACUGUAAUGGCAUUUGGGGUGUUGAUCCAAAAGAUGGAAUUCCAUAUGAAAAGAAAUUCUGUGAAGGUUCACAGCCCAGAGGAAUCAUUUUGCUGGGAGACUCAGCUGGCGCUCAUUUUCACAUCUCUCCUGAAUGGAUCACAGCGU